GACGAACGCUGGCGGCGUGCCUAAUACAUGCAAGUAGGACGCAGUUGCGAACGGGUGAGUAACGCGUAGGUAACUACCUAUUAGAGGGGGAUAACUAUUGGAAACGAUAGCUAAUACCGCAUACUAGUAGCUGGACCUGCGUUUUAUUAGCUAGUAGGUCGGGUAAUGGCCUACCUAGGCAACGAUACAUAGUCGACCUGAGAGGGUUGAUUGCUAACCUGGGACUGAGACAACGCCCAGAAUCCUACGGGAGGCCGGAGUAGGGAAUCUUCGGCAAGGGGGGGAACCCUGACCGAGCAACGCCGCGUGAGUGAAGAAGGUUUUCGGAUCGUAAAGCUCUGUUGUUAAGGAAGCGGUACUUAACCAGAAAGGGACGGCUAACUACGUGCCAGCAGCCGCGGUAAUAC
rnacentral:rRNA from 1 species